rnacentral:pre_miRNA from 1 species
UUAAUACUCCCUCCGUCCUAAAAUUCUUAUCUUAGAUUUGUUUAGAUAUGAAUGUAUCUAGUCAAGUUUUAGUAUUUAGAUACAUUCAUAUCUAGACAAAGCUAAGAAAAGAAUUAUGGGACGGAGGGAGUAGAAA